rnacentral:rRNA from 1 species
GGUAGUGUAUUGGACUACCAUGGCAGUCACGGGUAACGGAGAAUUAGGGUUCGAUUCCGGAGAGGGAGCCUGAGAAACGGCUACCACAUCUACGGAAGGCAGCAGGCGCGCAAAUUGCCCAAUCCUGACACGGGGAGGCAGUGACAAGAAAUAACAACUCUAGGUUUUCUUAGAAGUGUAAUGAGGGUAACUUACAAACCUUACCGAAUGCAAUUGGAGGGCAAGUCUGGUGCCAGCAGCCGCGGUAAUUCCAGCUCCAAUAGCGUAUAUUAAAGUUGUUGCAGUUAAAAAGCUCGUAGUUGAAAUUCUGGACGUCCGGGUCUCCAGUCUUUAGGCGGGGAUACCGGCGUUCAUCCGCUUGCAAGCAUCCGUUCGCCCUUCACCAGGCGGCCAUGUGAGUAAGCAUUUUACCUUGAGAAAAACAGAGUGUUCCAGGCAGGUUUGUCCGGGAUGCAUUAGCAUGGAAUAAUAGAACAUGACUGAAGUCAAGUUAUUGGUUGUAGACUUUAGUAAUGAUUAAUAGGAACAGUCGGGGGCAUUCGUACUCAGCAGUCAGAGGUGAAAUUCUAAGAUUUGCUGAAGACGAACUAAUGCGAAAGCAUUUGCCAAGGAUGUUUUCAUUAAUCAAGAACGAAAGUUAGGGGAUCAAAGACGAUUAGAUACCGUCA